AGAGUUUGAUCAUGGCUCAGAUUGAACGCUGGCGGCAGGCCUAACACAUGCAAGUCGAACGGUAACAGGAAGAAGCUUGCUUCUUUGCUGACGAGUGGCGGACGGGUGAGUAAUGUCUGGGAAACUGCCUGAUGGAGGGGGAUAACUACUGGAAACGGUAGCUAAUACCGCAUAAUGUCGCAAGACCAAAGAGGGGGACCUUCGGGCCUCUUGCCAUCGGAUGUGCCCAGAUGGGAUUAGCUUGUUGGUGGGGUAACGGCUCACCAAGGCGACGAUCCCUAGCUGGUCUGAGAGGAUGACCAGCCACACUGGAACUGAGACACGGUCCAGACUCCUACGGGAGGCAGCAGUGGGGAAUAUUGCACAAUGGGCGCAAGCCUGAUGCAGCCAUGCCGCGUGUAUGAAGAAGGCCUUCGGGUUGUAAAGUACUUUCAGCGGGGAGGAAGGGAGUAAAGUUAAUACCUUUGCUCAUUGACGUUACCCGCAGAAGAAGCACCGGCUAACUCCGUGCCAGCAGCCGCGGUAAUACGGAGGGUGCAAGCGUUAAUCGGAAUUACUGGGCGUAAAGCGCACGCAGGCGGUUUGUUAAGUCAGAUGUGAAAUCCCCGGGCUCAACCUGGGAACUGCAUCUGAUACUGGCAAGCUUGAGUCUCGUAGAGGGGGGUAGAAUUCCAGGUGUAGCGGUGAAAUGCGUAGAGAUCUGGAGGAAUACCGGUGGCGAAGGCGGCCCCCUGGACGAAGACUGACGCUCAGGUGCGAAAGCGUGGGGAGCAAACAGGAUUAGAUACCCUGGUAGUCCACGCCGUAAACGAUGUCGACUUGGAGGUUGUGCCCUUGAGGCGUGGCUUCCGGAGCUAACGCGUUAAGUCGACCGCCUGGGGAGUACGGCCGCAAGGUUAAAACUCAAAUGAAUUGACGGGGGCCCGCACAAGCGGUGGAGCAUGUGGUUUAAUUCGAUGCAACGCGAAGAACCUUACCUGGUCUUGACAUCCACGGAAGUUUUCAGAGAUGAGAAUGUGCCUUCGGGAACCGUGAGACAGGUGCUGCAUGGCUGUCGUCAGCUCGUGUUGUGAAAUGUUGGGUUAAGUCCCGCAACGAGCGCAACCCUUAUCCUUUGUUGCCAGCGGUCCGGCCGGGAACUCAAAGGAGACUGCCAGUGAUAAACUGGAGGAAGGUGGGGAUGACGUCAAGUCAUCAUGGCCCUUACGACCAGGGCUACACACGUGCUACAAUGGCGCAUACAAAGAGAAGCGACCUCGCGAGAGCAAGCGGACCUCAUAAAGUGCGUCGUAGUCCGGAUUGGAGUCUGCAACUCGACUCCAUGAAGUCGGAAUCGCUAGUAAUCGUGGAUCAGAAUGCCACGGUGAAUACGUUCCCGGGCCUUGUACACACCGCCCGUCACACCAUGGGAGUGGGUUGCAAAAGAAGUAGGUAGCUUAACCUUCGGGAGGGCGCUUACCACUUUGUGAUUCAUGACUGGGGUGAAGUCGUAACAAGGUAACCGUAGGGGAACCUGCGGUU
rnacentral:rRNA from 1 species